AGUCACAUGGAGGUUAUCGGUCGCUCCCUCGGUUUUGUGGCACAGUCGUUCUCCGGUGCGCCUCGCUGACGGACGAGAAGCGAAACACUCAAUCCUUCCGGGUGCGCUCUUACAGUGUUUUAGACCGAACUACGUUGUUUUUUUUCUUGCGGAAAAUCUCUACAAAAGCCGCCGGUAAACGAUACUCUGCUCAAAGUGGUUAUUUUUAGUCACCGAGGCAGCGAUGAGUGUCUGGAAGCCGGCUGUGACAGCGAGCGGUGCCGCGCUGUGGUGAGAGAAGCUCCAGCUCGCCCAACCUGCAAGAAUGAAGUCGAGGCGAGACAAACUGAAGAUCCCCUCUCUGACUCUGGAUUUAUCACCCACUUGCCAGAGCCCCACCCUCCUGAGCCCAUGCAGUCCAUGCAGCCCCUGCAGCCCCUUACAAACACUUCAUCCCUGGAGCUGUCGCAGCAGCAACAGGAAGAGCCUUGGUGUCGGGACGCCCUCACCCACGCUGUCCCGGCCACUCUCCCCGCUCUCACUCCACACGGCUGCCAGCAGCCCUCUGGACAGCCCUCGAAAUGCAUCGACCAGUGCCUGCCUCAACUUUCCAUUCGCCCGAAGAGCUGAGGGCCGGCGAUGGUCUCUGGCCUCCCUGCCCUCGUCUGGCUAUGGAACCAAUCCACCGAGCUCCACUGUCUCGUCCUCUUCAUCAUCCCAGGAGCGUCUUCAUCAGCUUCCCUACCAGCCAACACAAGAUGAACUGCACUUCCUCUUCAAACACUUCCGCAGCACAGACAGCAUGACAGAUGAGGAUGGACGCCCCUCGCCUGUCAUACGACCUCGGUCCCGCAGCCUCAGCCCUGGGCGUUCAAGUGUCUCCUUCGAUAAUGAGAUAGUCAUGAUGAACCACGUUUACAGAGAGCGUUUUCCAAAGGCCACAGCCCAGAUGGAGGAACGCUUGUUAGAGAUAGUCACCCACUAUUCUCCAGACAGCUCCCUCCCGCUGCCUGACGGGGUACUGGGCUUCAUCCAGCACCAGUUGGUGGAGCUGGUCAGAGACUGUCUGGAUAAGUCUCAGAAAGGUCUGGUUACUUCCCGCUACUUUGCUGAGCUGCAGGAAAAGCUGGAAAAGCUGUUUCAUGAGGCCUACGAGCGCUCUGAAAGCGAGGAGGUAACUGUCAUCACCCAGCUGGUUAGGAAGAUCCUCAUCAUAAUCUCUCGGCCGGCUCGCCUCCUUGAAUGUCUGGAGUUUGACCCGGAAGAGUUUUAUCACCUACUUGAAGCAGCAGAGGGUCAUGCCAAAGUCGGCCAGGGAAUUAAGACGGACAUCCCGCGCUACAUCAUCAGCCAGCUCGGCCUGACGCGGGACCUGUUGGAAGAUAUGGUACAGCUGGAACAGUAUGAUACCAGUCCUACAGUUUCGAACAAGGCUCCACAGACGCUGACUCCAACUCGAAGAAAACCACUGGAAAGCGAUUUUGAGACCAUCAAACUUAUUAGUAACGGAGCUUAUGGGGCCGUGUAUCUGGUCCGUCACAAGGAGACUCGUCAGCGAUUUGCCAUGAAAAAGAUAAAUCGUCAGAACCUGGUGCUAAGGAAUCAGAUUCAGCAGGCAUUCGUGGAGCGGGACAUCCUAACCUUUGCUGAGAACCCUUUUGUUGUCUCCAUGUUCUGCUCUUUUGAGACACGGCGUCAUCUUUGCAUGGUCAUGGAGUAUGUAGAAGGUAAACAAAAGCUUUUUUUCUCACAGAUUACACAUACAUAUAUAAUCUUUUUUUGUCUUUUGCCACUUGACAGUUUGCUGAUAACCUCCAUGGGUCACAUCAAGCUGACAGAUUUUGGCCUGUCUAAAAUUGGACUGAUGAACAUGACCACCAACCUGUACGAAGGUCACAUUGAGAAAGACACAAGAGAAUUUGUUGACAAACAGGUAUGUGGCACUCCAGAGUACAUUGCUCCAGAGGUGAUCCUUAGGCAGGGCUAUGGGAAGCCAGUGGACUGGUGGGCAAUGGGGGUCAUUCUUUAUGAGUUUCUGGUUGGCUGUGUUCCAUUUUUUGGAGACACCCCUGAAGAGCUUUUUGGACAAGUUGUUAGUGAUGAAAUAAUUUGGCCAGAAGGAGACGAUGCCCUACCUACUGAUGCACAGGACCUGAUUACUCGUCUGCUGAGGCAGAACCCUUUAGACCGAAUUGGAACAGGUGGAGCCUCAGAGGUGAAGCAGCAUCCUUUCUUCCUGGGUUUAGACUGGAAUGGACUUCUCCGACAGAAAGCAGAGUUCAUCCCUCAGCUGGAGGCGGAGGAUGACACCAGCUAUUUUGACACUCGGUCAGAACGCUACCAUCAUUUGGCAUCUGAUGAGGACGAAGAAACCAAUGAUGAAGAGUCUUCCCUAGAAAUUAGACAGUUUGCUUCCUGGUCACAUCGCUUCAGUAAGGUUUACAGCAGCACAGAACAUCUGGCAACACCUUCCAACUUGAGCUUCUCAUCAGACCGCAGUCACAGUGAGGACAAGGAGGACCGCACAGAUACAGGAGGACAAGGCCCCUCCUCGAGCCCAGCAGAAAGGAAUGUUGAGCCCAGAAAUUCUGGACGCAUGGCCAGCCUUCGGCCUAGGGCCUCCUCCAGCUCCUCCCAGUCAGAGAGAAGCACCAGUCCUCUAGUGAUGACCAGCACUCACAGUCUGGAGACAAUGCCACGUUUUGCCCUCUCCACUGAUGAUGAAGCUGAGGUGGUGGUGUCAAACCUUCGGAGAAUCAGAAUUCGGAGCAACAGCACUGGGGCUAAACACUCAUCCCCUAAGGACCCAGCAGGCCCUCGGCGCUUCGGUAACCAGCUGGAAACACCAGACAGGCAGAGGCUUCCCUGUGGAGGAAAGGUUCCAAAGUCAGCCUCUGUCUCUGCAUUGUCUCUCAUCAUUACUACAGAUGACUCUCCCAGUGGCCUCCAGCCCAGUCCCAUUUCGCCACGUUCACUUUCUUCCAACCCCUCAUCUCGUGACUCGUCCCCUAACCGAGAUCUGUUCUUCAGCCCCGGCAGCCUCAGGCCACCAAUCGUCAUCCACACCUCAGGGAAGAAGUACGGCUUCACCCUGCAGGCCAUCCGGGUCUACAUGGGUGACAGUGAUGUGUACACUGUGCAUCAUAUGGUGUCGAGUGUGGAGGAGGGCAGCCCAGCUCACCAGGCAGGUCUCUGCACUGGAGACCUCAUCACCCACGUGAACGGAGAGUCUGUCCAAGGCCUGGUCCACCCAGAGAUGAUAGAACUGCUACUGAAGAGUGGCAGCAAGGUGGCUCUGCAGACCAUAGCACUGGAGAACACGUCAAUCAAAGUUGGCCCAGCUCGAAAAACCAAACACAAAGGCAAGAUGGCACGUCGCAGCAAGAAGAGCAAGAGGAGAGAUAAUUACGACAGGCGACGGAGUAUCUUAAAGAAGUUAUCCAAGCAGAGUACAGUGAUGCACAGCAGUCGCAGCUUCUCCUCAGGCCUCCAUCACUCAGUUUCCUCCAGUGAGAGUCUUCCAGGCUCCCCGACACACAGCCUCUCCCCUGGUCCUUCCACACCCUGUCGGAGCCCUGCACCUGACCAUCAGGACAACACUCCUUGCUCUCCUCAGAGCACAUCUCCUUGCUCCAGCUCUCCUAGCUCCCCUGCUGCACACAUCCGGCCCAGCUCGCUCCAUGGCCUGGGAUCCAAACUCAGCACGCAACGCUACACCAAGGUUGGCCGUCGGAAGUCGACCAGUAACAUCCCUCCAUCCCCGUUGGCCUGCAACUCCUCCUCAUCUUCUAACCAGCCUCUUUCCCCAGCCUGGCAGCCAGGCAGUGGGGAGCGCUCACCGUCCCCACUUCCAGGCUUUGCCAAAACUCUUCACACCUUCCAUGGCAAAACCCUGUCACCACCCACCAUUGUUAGACAUGUUGUUCGGCCCCGCAGUGCUGAACCACCCCGGUCUCCACUGCUCAAGAGGGUGCAGUCAGCUGAGAAGCUGUCUGGAGUUUAUCAUGUUGACAAGAAGUCAUACGCUCCCCGCAGACACACACUGGAAGUGCCCUUUUACUGUGAAGGUGACCUGCUGGGUGACUCCGAGGUAGAGGGGGCUUUUGGGUGCUCCUACAUUGGGGCUGACCACACCAGACUGGGGUGCUACAUAAGCAGUCAAAGGAUAGAACGGUCAGAGCAGCUAGUUGUGAUGCGGAAGCUCAACCUAUCAGAGCGGCGAGACUCCUUUAAGAAGCAAGAGGCAGUGCAGGAGGUGAGCUUUGAUGAGCCAGAGGAGAAAAAUGGCACCACAGUGACCACCGCAGCCCCAGGAGCCCAAACACAGUGUCAGCAGCAGCACAGGAUAGCCUGGAUGGCCACUCGACCCCAGAGCAGCCAGGAGGUGGAGCUGGAAGUCCCGGUGGUGAGGAGGUUUACAUUGGUGCCCCAAAUCGCCGUGCAGGGCUCAACAGAAAGUGAGGAGCAGGAUGAGUGGGAGCCAUGCUCAGAUGGAGAGGAAUCCACUGAUAGGCCUGAGCUGGAGGUGAGCAUCACUUCAAUUCAGCAGCAGCAAACAGGACAUCCUCUUGCUGACAGCAGCUGCAGUGAGGCAGAAACCACUUCCUCUGGUCCUGCACCAGCAUCAGAGAAACCUGAGUGCAGAGAGGAAAUGCCCCAAAAAGGGCCUUUGAGAAAAUGA
ensembl:lncRNA microtubule associated serine/threonine kinase 3